rnacentral:rRNA from 1 species
GUGGGGAAUUUUGGACAAUGGGCGAAAGCCUGAUCCAGCCAUGCCGCGUGCAGGAUGAAGGCCUUCGGGUUGUAAACUGCUUUUGUACGGAACGAAAAGACUCUGGUUAAUACCUGGGGUCCAUGACGGUACCGUAAGAAUAAGCACCGGCUAACUACGUGCCAGCAGCCGCGGUAAUACGUAGGGUGCAAGCGUUAAUCGGAAUUACUGGGCGUAAAGCGUGCGCAGGCGGUUAUAUAAGACAGAUGUGAAAUCCCCGGGCUCAACCUGGGAACUGCAUUUGUGACUGUAUAGCUAGAGUACGGUAGAGGGGGAUGGAAUUCCGCGUGUAGCAGUGAAAUGCGUAGAUAUGCGGAGGAACACCGAUGGCGAAGGCAAUCCCCUGGACCUGUACUGACGCUCAUGCACGAAAGCGUGGGGAGCAAACAGGAUUAGAAACCCCUGUAGUCC